AUCAACAUUUUGGUUUUGCAAUUUGGCAGAAAAUCUCGAUUGUUAGUUUCUAUUUUUAAACCGAUUGAUAGUUAACUUUGUAGGCGCAUUUUCUCGAUUGUAGACCGCAAAACGGAGUUAUCAUUCGGAGCCUAAUUAGUUUCAACGUUUAAACUACUAUUUUUUAAUU
rnacentral:sRNA from 1 species